GGAGAGAUGGCAGAGUGGUCGAUUGCGGCGGUCUUGAAAACCGUUGAGGUGUAACAGCCUCCGGGGGUUCGAAUCCCUCUCUCUCCGCAA
rnacentral:tRNA from 1 species